rnacentral:rRNA from 1 species
CCUACGGGUGGCAGCAGUGGGGAAUAUUGCACAAUGGGGGAAACCCUGAUGCAGCGACGCCGCGUGAGUGAAGAAGUUUUUCGGUAUGUAAAGCUCUAUCAGCAGGGAAGAAAAUGACGGUACCUGAUCAAGAAGCCCCGGCUAAAUACGUUCCAGCAGCCGCGGUAAUACGGAGGGGGCAAGCGUUAUCCGGUUUUACUGGGUGUAACGGGAGCGUAGACGGCAGCACAAGUCUGGAGUGAAAUGCCGGGGCUUAACCCCGGAACUGCUUUGGAAACUGUGCAGCUAGAGUGCGGGAGAGGUUAGUGGAAUUCCUGGUGUAGCGGUGAAAUGCGUAGAUAUUAGGAGGAACACCAGUGGCGAAGGCGGCUUACUGGAAUGUAACUGACGUUGAGGCUCGAAAGCGUGGGGAGCAAACAGGAUUAGAUACCCGAGUAGUC